rnacentral:rRNA from 1 species
ACGACGCUGGCGGCGUGCCUAACACAUGCAAGUCGAGCGGGGAACCCCUUCGGGGGUUCCAGCGGCGGACGGGUGAGUAACGCGUGAGCAACCUUUCCUUCACAGGGGGAUAACGCAGCGAAAGCUGUGCUAAUACCGCUUAAGACCACAAUGUCGCAUGGCAAAGGGGUCAAAGGAGAAAUCCGGUGAAGGGUGGGCUCGCGUCUGAUUAGCUAGUUGCGGGUAACAGCCCACCAAGGCAACGAUCAGUAGCCGACCUGAGAGGGUGAUCGGCCACACUGGGACUGAGACACGGCCCAGACUCCUACGGGAGGCAGCAGUGGGGAAUAUUGGGCAAAAUGGGGGAAACCCUGACCCAGCAACGCCGCGUGAGGGAAGAAGGUUUUCGGAUCGUAAACCUCUGUCCUCAGGGACGAAGAAAUGACGGUACCUGAGGAGGAAGCCCCGGCUAACUACGUGCCAGCCGCCGC